rnacentral:sRNA from 12 species
GGAUAAUCCUGGGAAACCAGGGAAAGGAUUAUGACAACUGGUGCCAUAAUCCCCUAAACGAACGUAUUAAAAACGUAGACGAAAGGCAUAAUCACCAGUUCCUCUGGCCGGUGUCAUGACCGGUCAGUAUCAUGAAUCAGGGACUAGGAAGCGAGAUACGAUUAGAAACCGUAUACGAGCUAACGUUAGGCAUCUGGGAACGUUUCGAUCCCUUGUGCCAAACGCAGUAACCCAGAGGGUUUUAGCUGCAACUGCAAAUGACCAGAACGCUAUCAUAUUUCUCGGCGAGCCGACCUCGCCAAAAGGCCCGGAUGCAUAAACAACAUCUAGGCGCGCAAAGGAAAUAUAACAGCGGGGAGAGAGCGAACCAGGCAAAGUUCGUAAAACCUCCUCAAACCGGGCGGAGUGAAAAACACUUCACCCUACUGUAAAGCGAUCGCAGCUUGAGAGUUAAGAGGCCAGACCCGCAACGCAGGGCAAACGAUCGGCUAACAACCGGUGCCGUCCUUGUGUAAAAGGUAUAGACGCAAAAAACGCAUUACAGGCGUGUCUACACCUCGUUUAGCGUGCAAUUCUCGGCAGAGAAUUACCGAACUAAGCGAAAAGACCUCACUCAAUAAACUCCAAUCAGUAAUGAUAGGAGCGAUCCCGCUAUGAGAUCGAUAACUUCGCAUGCCGCGGAGAGUGGCGUCGGGGAACAUACGGCCCGCGAAAGCGAGAGCGCCCAAUGUAUGUACAGGGAAAGAUUGCGUGGCGAGCAAC